UUAGAAUUUGCCACAGCAACCCAAACCUUCAGCAGACAACACUCUGAUAAGUGAGCAGCCAUCAACAUCAAAGCAAGACACUCUACCAACAAAGAGAUUACAACCCACUGAAGGCCCAGAUGAUCCUUAGUAUUUUUUUACCAAUAAAAAAUUUUUCAAUUAAGAUAGCUCCUAAUUUAAUUAUUAUAACAAAAAUUUACUGAGCAUCUACUAUGGGCAAACAUGGGAAAUCUAAACAUGCAUGAGUCCCAGUCCUAGCUCAGGAUGACUUUAGAACCUAAUGGAAAACAUAAACAUAUACAGAAGGAACGUCAACCCAACAUCAGAGUCUUUUUAAUGGUUAUAUAGAACAUCCUUCAAGACACCACAGAAGAGCACGCC
rnacentral:lncRNA from 10 species